AUACGUAGGGAGCAAGCGUUGUCCGGAUUUAUUGGGCGUAAAGGGUGCGUAGGCGGCCUUGUAAGUCAGAUGUGAAAGAUCAUGGCUUAACUGUGGUAAGCAUUUGAAACUGCAGGGCUUGAGUACAGGAGAGGAGAGUGGAAUUCCUAGUGUAGCGGUGAAAUGCGUAGAUAUUAGGAGGAAUACCAGUGGCGAAGGCGACUCUCUGGACUGAUACUGACGCUGAGGCACGAAAGCGUGGGGAGCAAACAGGAUUAGAUACCCUGGUAGUCCACGCUAUAAACGAUGAGUGCUAGGUGUCGGGGGUCAAACCUCGGUGCCGCAGUUAACACAUUAAGCACUCCGCCUGGGGAGUACGGCCGCAAGGCUGAAACUCAAAUGAAUUGGCGGGG
rnacentral:rRNA from 1 species